rnacentral:rRNA from 1 species
CCUACGGGUGGCUGCAGUGGGGAAUAUUGCACAAUGGGGGGAACCCUGAUGCAGCGAUGCCGCGUGGAGGAAGAAGGUUUUCGGAUUGUAAACUCCUUUUAUCAGGGACGAUAAUGACGGUACCUGAAGAAAAAGCUCCGGCUAACUACGUGCCAGCAGCCGCGGUAAUACGUAGGGAGCGAGCGUUGUCCGGAAUUACUGGGUGUAAAGGGAGCGUAGGCGGGAUAGCAAGUCAGAUGUGAAAUCCUAUGGCUUAACCAUAGAACUGCAUUUGAAACUGUUAUUCUAGAGUAUGGGAGAGGUAGGUGGAAUUCUUGGUGUAGGGGUAAAAUCCGUAGAGAUCAAGAGGAAUACUCAUUGCGAAGGCGACCUGCUAGAACAUAACUGACGCUGAUGCGCGAAAGCGUGGGGAGCAAACAGGAUUAGAUACCCCAGUAGUC